AAUAUCUUGGGACUUUGUUAAAAUGCAGAUUCUGAUUCUCCAAGUCCAGGGUGAGCCAUAAGAUUCUGCAUUUCUAACAAGCUCUUAGGUGAUGCAGA
rnacentral:pre_miRNA from 1 species